GCUAUAAUUGUCAGCUAAGUGGCGCACGGGUGAGUAAUGUAUAGAUAACCUGCCCUUAAGAAAGGAAUAACAGUUGGAAACGACUGCUAAUGCCCUAUAUGCCUUUAAUACAUAAGUAUGCAAGGGAAACGCUUUAGUGCUUAAGGAUGGGUCUGUAUGGUAUCAGCUUGUUGGUGAGGUAAUGGCUCACCAAGGCUAUGACGCCUAACUGGUUUGAGAGGAUGAUCAGUCACACUGGAACUGAGACACGGUCCAGACUCCUACGGGAGGCAGCAGUGGGGAAUAUUGCACAAUGGACGAAAGUCUGAUGCAGCAACGCCGCGUGGAGGAUGACACAUUUCGGUGCGUAAACUCCUUUUAUAUAGGAAGAUAAUGACGGUACUAUAUGAAUAAGCACCGGCUAACUCCGUGCCAGCAGCCGCGGUAAUACGGAGGGUGCAAGCGUUACUCGGAAUCACUGGGCGUAAAGAGCGUGUAGGCGGGUAUAUAAGUCAGAAGUGAAAUCCAAUAGCUCAACUAUUGAACUGCUUUUGAAACUGUAUACCUAGAAUGCGGGAGAGGUAGAUGGAAUUUCUGGUGUAGGGGUAAAAUCCGUAGAGAUCAGAAGGAAUACCGAUUGCGAAGGCGAUCUACUGGAACAUUAUUGACGCUGAGACGCGAAAGCGUGGGGAGCAAACAGGAUUAGAUACCCUGGUAGUCCACGCCCUAAACGAUGUACACUAGUUGUUGUGAGGCUCGACCUUGCAGUAAUGCAGUUAACACAUUAAGUGUACCGCCUGGGGAGUACGGUCGCAAGAUUAA
rnacentral:rRNA from 1 species